AUGGCGAACACCAAGCUCGCGUUCGUGGCCAUGCUCGUGAUCCUACUGCAAGCGUCCGCGCGGCACCACGCCGGCGGCGACACCCCCGGCGUGAUGACGAUAAACGAUUUCGACAGAGGCGAGGGAUUCGGGCCGUCGGAGUGCGACGGCAGGUACCACAGCAACAGGGACAUGGUGGCGGCGCUGUCCACGCGCUGGUACGAGGGCGGGCGCCGGUGCGAGAGGAUGAUCCGCAUCACCAGCACGCACACCGGGCGCACCGUGGAGGCCAAGGUGGUGGACGAGUGCGACUCCAAGCAAGGGUGCGCGGACGACAUCGUGGACACCUCCCUCGCCGUGUGGAAGGCGCUCGGGCUCGACGCCAACGCCGAUGACGCGGCCGUCAUCACCUGGUCCGACGCCUGA
rnacentral:rRNA from 1 species